rnacentral:rRNA from 1 species
UACGGGGGGGGCAAGCGGUUGUUCGGAAUUACGUGGGCGUAAAGGGCGCGUAGGCGGCCUGCUAAGUCGGACGUGAAAUCCCUCGGCUCAACCGAGGAACUGCGUCCGAUACUGGUGGGCUUGAAUCCGGGAGAGGGAUGUGGAAUUCCAGGUGUAGCGGUGAAAUGCGUAGAUAUCUGGAGGAACACCGGUGGCGAAGGCGGCAUCCUGGACCGGUAUUGACGCUGAGGCACGAAGGCCAGGGGAGCAAACGGG